rnacentral:rRNA from 1 species
AUUGAACGCUGGCGGCAGGCCUAACACAUGCAAGUCGAGCGGAGCUGCGGAGGGGUGAGUAAGCCCUAGGAAACUGCCUGGUAAAGUGGGAAGACGUCCGGAAACGGGCGCUACUACGGACUCCUAUCCCAUGAGCCUAGGGGGGAUUAGCUAGUUGGUGGGGGAAAGGCCUACCAAGACGACUAACCCUAACUGGUCUGAGAGGAUGAUCAGGCACACUGGAACUGAGACACGGUCCAGACUCCUACGGGAGGCAGCAGUGGGGAAUAUUGGACAAUGGGCGAAAGCCUGAUCCAGCCAUGCCGCGUGUGUGAAGAAGGUCUUCGGAUUGUAAAGCACUUUAAGGUGGGAGGCGUUACCAACAGAAUAAGCACCGGCUAACUUCGUGCCAGCAGCCGCGGUAAUUC